GACGAACGCUGGCGGCGUGCUUAACACAUGCAAGUCGAACGGGCCCGCCCCCGUUUUUGGGGGUGGGUUGAGUGGCGAACGGGUGAGUAUCACGUGAGUAACCUGCCCCCUGCUCCUGGAUAACUGCUUGAAAGGGCGGCUAAUACGGGGUGUGCCGGCUGGUCCGCAUGGGCCUGGUCGGGAUAGUUUCAUCUUCGGGUGUUUCGGUGGGGGAUGGGCUCGCGGCCUAUCAGCUUGUUGGUGGGGUGAUGGCCCACCAAGGCGGUGACGGGUAGCCGGCCUGAGAGGGUGGGCGGCCACACUGGGACUGAGACACGGCCCAGACUCCUGCGGGAGGCAGCAGUGGGGGGUAUUGCACAAUGGGCGGAAGCCUGAUGCAGCGACGUCGCGUGAGGGAUGGAGGCCUUCGGGUUGUGAACCUCUUUCUCCGGUGGUGAAGGCCCUGUCCGUUGCGGCGGGGUUGACGGUAGCCGGGUAUGAAGCGCCGGCUAACUACGUG
rnacentral:rRNA from 1 species